AUCCACCGUAUUCAAGUUUCCUGUAUUUUUCUUUACAAGAGUGAAGUUCAAAACAAAAAAUAAUAAAUAUGCUAUUUUCCAUUUUCCAAUCUUGUCGUAAGCUCAGCUGUGUUCCUUUCCUUUCAUGGCUUCCUUUCGCAGGCUUCUUCCCCUUUGCUCUUCUCUCAAAAGAACGAGAUUUUCUUCUUCUGGAGUUCAUAUAG